rnacentral:rRNA from 1 species
GUAGUCAUAUGCUUGUCUCAAAGAUUAAGCCAUGCAUGUUUAAGUAUAAGCAAUUAUACAGCGAAACUGCGAAUGGCUCAUUACAUAAGUUAUUGUUUAUUUGAUAGUACCUUACUACUUGGAUAACCGUGGUAAUUCUAGAGAUAAUACAUGCUAAAAAUCCCGAUUUCGGAAGGGAUGUAUUUAUUAGAUUAAAAACCAAUGCCCUUCGGGGCUCCUUGGUGAUUCAUGAUAACUCCUCGAAUCGCAUGGCCUUGUGCCGGCGAUGGUUCAUUCAAAUUCUUCCCUAUCAACUUUCGAUGUUUGGGUAUUGGCCAAACAUGGUUGCAACGGGUAACGGGGAAU